GCGCUCAUAGCUCAGCUGGAUAGAGCAACGGCCUUCUAAGCCGUGGGUCGCAGGUUCGAAUCCUGCUGAGCGUA
rnacentral:tRNA from 1 species